AGCUAGCAGAACUAAUUGGCAGAUUUAUUGUGUAUAGCUAUCUAUAACUAGUUGCCAUGUAUUAUAGCUAAUUUCCUUGUAAUGUACAGGUGUCUAUAGCUAACUUCUCUGCACGGUUUUUCUAUUUAAUGAGAUUCUCAUAGAGAUGAGAGAUUAUUCAGUCAAUUUGACAUGGUAUCAGAGCCUAUGUUAUGAAUUUGGUCAUUAACGCUUUCUUCUUUCGGUUUUCUCUAGUUUUAGUCCAAAGGGCUCUUGGUGUUCUAUAUUUCUGAGUCUCGGUAGAGCCUUAUGUUUUCUAGAUUCUGAAUUCUUGGUAAAGUUCUCUAGUUUUCUGGUUUCUAGCUUUCUUGGAGUUCUUUUUCUGGUGUUCUUUCUUUUGGUCAUAAUGUCUACAUAAGCCUUUUGUGUUCGUUUCACUGGGAAGAACUACUCUGCUUGGGAGUUUCAGUUCAAGAUGUUUAUCAAAGGCAGGGAGCUUUGGGAUCAUAUUGAUGGCUCUUCUAAAGCACCAACUGAUGCUAAGGAAUUUGCUCAAUGGGAGACCAAGGAUGCUCGGAUUAUUUCUUGGAUUUUGGGGUCCAUUGAGCCGCAUAUGGUGAACAAUCUGCGGUCCUUUAACACCGCCAAGGAGAUGUGGGAUUAUUUGAAGCGCAUCUACAACCAAGACAACAAUGCAAGGCGGUUUCAGUUGGAGUUGGAGAUUGCAAAUUACAGCCAAGGUAAUCUUUCCAUUCAGGAGUAUUAUUCUGGUUUUCUUAAUCUGUGGAACGAGUAUUCCGGAAUCAUUCAUGCUAAGGUGGCAAAAGAAGCCUUGUCCGCUAUUCAAGAGGUUCAUGCAACCAGCAAACGUGAUCAAUUUUUGAUGAAACUUAGGCCAGAAUUUGAAUUUACUAGGGCUGCGCUAUUAAACAGAGAUCUUGUUCCCUCUUUGGAUGUGUGUCUUGGUGAAUUGCUUCGUGAGGAGCAACGGACUCUUACCCAGGCUGUUAUGGCACAAGAGAAGCUGUCCUCAGAUGUUGUGAAUGUUGCAUAUGCUACUCAAGGGAAGGGAAAGGGCAAGGACAAGGUCCAGUGCUAUUGCUGCAAGGAAUUCGGCCAUAUUGCUCGCAACUGCAAUAAGAAAUUCUACACUUACUGUAAGCAGUCCGGGCACAUCAUUAAGGAGUGUCCUACGCGACCUCAGAAUCGCCGAGCCAAUGCUUUUCAAGCUGCGGUCAGUUCUUCUACUUCUGUGGAUCAGUCCGCAAGAAUCGCAUCUGCUGCAGACACAUCAACAGGUCCUAACCAAGUUGUUCUUACUCCAAAGAUGGUGCAACAGAUGAUUAUCUCGGCCUUUUCAGCAUUGGGACUUCAAGGUAAUGGUAAAACAAUUUCUCAUCCUUGGUUUGUUGAUUCUAGAGCAUCAAAUCACAUGACUGGCUGUUCUAAUUUUCUGCAUAAUGUUCGGUCCUAUAACGGUACACAACACAUUCAAAUUGCUAAUGGAAGUAAUCUUCCUAUUACUGCUAUUGGAGAUCUUAGUUCACCUUUCCGCAAUGUGUUUGUGUCACCUGGACUCUCUACUAGUUUGAUUUCAGUUGGUCAAUUGGUUGAUAACAACUGUGAUGUGCAUUUUUCUCGAAAUGGUUGUCAGGUUCAGGAUCAAGUGUCGGGAAAAUGAUCGCGAAGGGGCCUAAAGUUGGAAGAUUGUUUCCUCUGCAUUUUACUCUUCCAAGUCUAUUGUCUUUGGCUUGUACUGCUGCAACAAAUCAGAGUGAGGUUUGGCAUAAACGCCUAGGCCAUCCUAACUCUCUUGUUUUGUCUCAUUUAGUGAAGCAUGGUUUUUUGGGCAAUAAAGAUCAGUUCUCUUCUUACAGCAUGUCUUUUGAUUGUACUGCUUGUAAACUUGGAAAAAGCAAAACUCUAUCUUUUCCUAAUCAUGGUAGUCGAGCUGAAAAAUGCUUCGAUAUUAUUCAUAGUGAUGUUUGGGGCAUUACUCCUAUAACUUCUCAUACCGGAUAUAAAUAUUUUGUGACGUUCAUUGAUGAUUAUAGUCGUUUCACUUGGGUGUAUUUUCUCCGCUCCAAAUCCGAAGUAUUUUCUAUUUUUCAGACCUUUGUGGCUUAUGUUGAGACUCAAUUCUCAACUUGUAUUAAAGUAUUAAGGUCUGACUCAGGCGGAGAAUAUAUGUCUCAUGACUUUCAGGGGUUCUUGCAUCAAAAAGGUAUAAUUUCUCAGCGAUCUUGUCCUUAUACACCUCAGCAAAAUGGUGUUGCUGAACGUAAGAAUCGCCAUCUGUUGGAUGUUGUUCGCACCUUGUUGCUUGAAUCCUCUGUUCCUCCUAAAUUUUGGGUUGAAGCUUUGUCUACUGUAGUUUAUUUGAUUAAUCGACUGCCUUCUCAAAUUUUGGACUUUGAUUCCUCUUAUUAUCGUCUCUAUGGCAAGCAUCCUGGUUAUAAUCAGUUUCAUACUUUUGGAUGUGUUUACUUUGUUCACUUAUCUGCUAAUGAACGUCACAAACUUGCUGCCCAGUCGGUUCAGUGUGCCUUUAUGGGUUAUGGUAUUGCUCAAAAGGGUUUUGUGUGUUAUGAUGCUGCUACUAAACGACUUUGUGUCUCUAGAAAUGUAGUUUUCUUUGACAAUCAAUAUUUCUUUCAGUCCAAUGUUGCCUCAUCUUCUGAUCUUGCCAUGCUUCCUAGCUUUGAUGAUAUAUAUCAUUCUAUUAAGCGCUUCAAACCAAAUAUUGUGUAUAAGAGACGUCAGCCACCUCAGCCCCUUUCCGAUACUGAUCCACCACCUGAGCCUGCAGUCCCUGCGCCUCGGAGGUCCACCAGAGCCUCCCAUCCACCAGAUAGGUAUGGAUUCUCCCAUACAUCACUCAAUGUGACUCUGUCUACUAUCACGAUUCCUACUUGUUAUUCCCAGGCAAUUAAGCAGGAAUGUUGGGUGAAGGCCAUGCAAGAUGAGCUUCAAGCUCUAUAAGAGAAUCACACUUGGGAUAUUGUUCCAUGUCCUUCUGAUGUUAAAUCCAUUGGUUGUAAAUGGGUGUAUUCUAUGAAGCUACGUCCUGAUGGGACUGUGGAAAGAUAUAAGGCUCGGUUGGUUGCUCUUGGUAAUAGACAGGAAUAUGGAGUAGAUUAUGAUGAGACUUUUGCUCCGGUGGCUAAAAUGACGACAAUACGGACAGUUCUUGCCAUUGUUGCUUCUAAAGGUUGGGCCCUACGACAAAUGGAUGUUAAGAAUGCUUUUCUGCAUGGUGAUCUCAAGGAGGAGAUUUUUAUGACACCUCCACUAGAUUUAUUCACUACACCAUCUUCUGAUGUGUGCAAGCUGAAGCGCUCUCUCUAUGGCUUGAAGCAGGCACCUCGUGCCUGGUUUGAUAAGUUUCGCUCCUCAUUACUUGGUUUUUCCUUUGUCCAAAGUCAGUAUGACUCUUCCUUGUUUCUCCGCAAGACUGAGAAUGGAAUUGUUCUUCUCCUGGUUUAUGUUGAUGAUAUAGUUAUUACAGGGAUAGAUUCUGUGUUGAUUCAGCAGCUUCAACAACACCUACAGGCUUCAUUUCACAUGAAGGAUCUUGGUUCUCUUCAAUAUUUUUUGGGCCUUGAGUUGAAGUCUGGACCUGCAGGUACUUUCUUGCACCAACAUAAGUAUACACAAGAUUUGAUUGCUUUGGCUGGACUUCAAGAUGCUUCUUCUGUUGACACACUUUUGGAGGUGAAUGUAAAGUAUCAUCGUGAGGAGGGCGAGCUUCUUUCUGAUCCCUCACUAUACCGACAGUUGGUUGGAAGUCUGAACUAUUUGACCAUAACUCGGCCUGAUAUUUCCUUCGCUGUUCAGCAAGUUAGUCAGUUUAUGCAGACUCCUCGACACCUUCAUUUGGCUGCCAUCUGUCGUAUCAUUCGCUAUCUGAGAAGCACUCUAGAUCGCGGCUUAUUCUUUCCUGCUGGUUCACCUAUUCAGUUGAGGGCAUACAGUGAUGCUGAUUGGGUUGGCUGUCCAGAUACGCGUCGCUCAGUUACGGGCUGAUGUAUGUUUCUUGGCAAUGCACUCAUUUCAUGGAAGAGUAAGAAAUUNNNNNNNNNNNNNNNNNNNNNNNNNNNNNNNNNNNNNNNNNNNNNNNNNNUUGCAUGUUCUGAGAUUAUUUAGCUUCGUGGAUUGUUGGCUGAGAUUGGAUUCCCUCAACUUGAGCCCACUUCGCUUCAUGCAAAUAACACUAGUGCAAUUCAGAUUGCGGCUAAUCCUAUCUUUCACGAGCACACCAAGCAUAUUGAGGUGGAUUGUCACUCUAUUCGUGAGGCUUAUGAUCGACGUGUUAUCACUCUUCCUCAUAUCACCACGGAUUUUCAGAUUGCUUAUGUGUUUACCAAGGCUAUGACUUGUCAACGUCAUAAGUUUCUAGUUGGCAAAUUGAUGCUUCUUGAUCACCCAGCAUCAAUUUGAGGGGGGAUGUUAAUAGGAUCUGCAGGAUCCUAUUUACAUAUGGUUUCCAUAGCAAAUCUAAUUACCUUUAUUUCCACAAUCUACUCAUUUCCUUUGUUAUUUCUAUUAACUAUGUAUAGCUUAGUCUUUCUAAUUUAGCUAGCAGAACUAAUUGGCAGAUUUAUUGUGUAUAGCUAUCUAUAACUAGUUGCCAUGUAUUAUAGCUAAUUUUCUUGUAAUGUACAGCUGUCUAUAGCUAACUUCUCUGCACGGUUUUUCUAUUUAAUGAGAUUCUCACAGAGAUGAGAGAUUAUUCAGUCAAUUAGACACCCAACACACCAAAAAAUAAAAGGCACCUGUAACCCCAAUGGAGUGUUGAUGAGGAUUUAGUAACUUAGAUUCAAAGACCAAGAGCAGUAGCUAUGACAAUGUUGGUGGUCAUGGAUUUGUCGACUAUAAAGAGAGUGGACAGGAGACCACUAUUUUUAAGACAGCUGCAGGGUGGUCUUCGAUUUACCAGUAUCUCAGUUUAUUCAUGCUACACAAGAUAGAGACCAUAAUAUACGAUCUGAUAGAGCCUACAAAGAUACGAUUGCAUAUAGGAGACGAGCUCCUCGAGGUCAUUCAGAAGGAUACGAUACAGCUAUAGAUGUGCUCGCACGUGGAGUAGAAUUUAUAGACAUAUCAAGUUUCGAGUCGUAUACUGGAUCAUAUUAUUCGUAGCUACAAGCAGCCUACGAUCCACACAGAUACGGAUAUGGAUAUGGUGCGUCUAAUGCAUAUUUCGAUGGAUACUAUUCUACGCAGCUCGGAGCAUCUUAUGAGAAGAAUUUUGCUACAGGUAUAUUCAGAUGGGCUCCUUCAUAGCCAUAUUAUCAGCCAGAGGACAUCUCUUAGAGCUAGAGCUUCAGCAAGAGAUUCAAAAGUGCUUAUAAUCUA
rnacentral:lncRNA from 1 species